GGCUCANCCGGGGAGGGUCAUUGGAAACUGGGGAACUNGAGUGCAGAAGAGGAGAGUGGAAUUCCAUGUGUAGCGGUGAAAUGCGUAGAUAUAUGGAGGANCACCAGUGGCGAAGGCGACUCUCUGGUCUGUAACUGACGCUGAGGCUCGAAAGCGUGGGUAGCAAACAGGAUUAGAUACCCUGGUAGUCCACGCCGUAAACGAUGAGUGCUAAGUGUUGGAGGGUUUCCGCCCUUCAGUGCUGCAGUUAACGCAUUAAGCACUCCGCCUGGGGAGUACGACCGCAAGGUUGAAACUCAAAGGAAUUGACGGGGACCCGCACAAGCGGUGGAGCAUGUGGUUUAAUUUGAAGCAACGCGAAGAACCUUACCAAGUCUUGACAUCCUUUGACCACUCUAGAGAUAGAGCUUUCCCUUCGGGGACAAAGUGACAGGUGGUGCAUGGUUGUCGUCAGCUCGUGUCGUGAGAUGUUGGGUUAAGUCCCGCAACGAGCGCAACCCUUAUUACUAGUUGCCAGCAUUCAGUUGGGCACUCUAGUGAGACUGCCGGUGACAAACCGGAGGAAGGUGGGGAUGACGUCAAAUCAUCAUGCCCCUUAUGACUUGGGCUACACACGUGUUACAAUGGAUGGUACAACGAGCAGCGAACUCGCGAGGGUAAGCGAAUCUCUUAAAGCCAUUCUCAGUUCGGAUUGUAGGCUGCAACUCGCCUACAUGAAGCCGGAAUCGCUAGUAAUCGCGGAUCAGCACGCCGCGGUGAAUACGUUCCCGGGUCUUGUACACACCGCCCGUCACACCACGAGAGUUUGUAACACCCAAAGUC
rnacentral:rRNA from 1 species